GUGAUCCUCCUGCCUCAGCUUCGCAAGUAGCUUAGACUACAGAAUACCCCACUUUACCACCUGGGGCAACUUUUAAUCAGCAGUUAUCAUGUGAAACUCAAGAGAGGGAGGUUGGAAGGCUGUGGACCUAAAAUAAAGAAAAGCGAAAAGAUCGAAAGAAGAUCAAAAAGAAAACAAAAAUGUUCCUCAGCACCCCGCAACUCAAAGACAAUACAUUAAACCUUAGAAGUAUUCAUGAUACCUGAAAAGAAAUCAUCUGUGGACAGAAGUAUUACCCAAGGAGAAAAACAUGCACGGAUCAAACAAAUUUACACAUCUCAUUUACUCUGAGAUUAUUCAGAAAAAAUCCAAACUUUACAGAAACAUUUGGCACUGGGAAGAUGAACAACAAAAAGACUGGAAGAGAACCUAGUGUUAUUUUCUGCAUAUAGAAUCACCCAUGUCACUACUUAGCCCUUGGAUCCCAGCUCUUUGGGGAAGAAAGUGGUUCUGAGAAACUAAGGGACUGAUCUGGACCAGGGUCAAGACAAGGCAGAAGCACCUGGAGAUAAUUUCCCGAGGGAGGCCGUGGAAGCCACGUUCCUCUUAGGAAUGAAAGGACCUCACAUCCCACAGCCCGGCUUCCAAAGAACCGGCUCAGCGAGGUGGCACCGGCUGAGGAGGAGGCGCGCUGUCCAGGUGCUGAAGUCUGCCACCGAGCGCCUCAGGGUUAAACACAACCAGCCCUUUCAGAAGACUUGCUCCAUGGCUGGUUCCAGCCAACCUCAUGACUGCUCCUCCCUCUUGCAGUUUCAGCACAAUAACUGACCAGCAUUCCUUCCAGUGACCAUGGAGUGGUUCUGACCAUCUACAGAGGCUUCGCUGCUUCAUUUUUUGAUGUCAGAAGGCUGAAAACCGCACUCCGAUCAUGCUAACAUCAUCAUUUUUAUCAACGUAGGACCCAUGAAGCAGCAUGAUGCCCAAUCAAGCAUGCACAUGUUUCUCUUUUCAUAAAUAUUUAUGACUCCU